rnacentral:rRNA from 1 species
CACCACACCCCCAAGGGUACCCAGCAGUGAUAAAGAUUGCCUAUAAGCGUCAGCUUGAAUCAGUUAGAGAGAAGAGAGCCGGCCAAUUCGGUGCCAGCUGCCGCGGCUACACCGCUGGGCCCAAGAUGAUAAAAACCGGCGUUAAGCGUGAUUAAAGAAAACCAAAAUUAGAAUUAAAUUUAACUUUAACUGUAAUAAUCUUAUCUUACAGAAAUCCAUAAUCGAAAGUUAUUCUAAUAUAUCUUGAAUACACGACAGAUUGGAAACAAACUGGGAUUAGAUACCCCACUAUGCCAAACCGUAAAAAAUUAACCCACACCCACCAACGCCAGGGAACUACGAGCUUAAGCUUAAAACCCAAAGGACUUGACGGUGUCCCACCCAACUAGAGGAGCCUGUUCUAUAAUCGAUAAUCCACGAUACACCUAACCAUCUCUUGCUUCCAGCCUGUAUACCUCCGUCGUAAGCCUACCAUAUGAAUGCAUAGCAGUAGGCCCAAGGGCUAAACGCCACAACGUCAGGUCAAGGUGCAGCUCAUGACAUGGAAAGUAAUGGGCUACAAUUUCUAACUUAGAACAAACGAAACACUGCAUGAAACACAGUUAUGAAGGUGGAUUUAGUAGUAAAUAGGGAACAGAGAGCCCUAUUAAA